rnacentral:tRNA from 1 species
GGGGAAGUACUUUAAAUAAAAGAUUUGAUUUGCAAUUAGAAAAUGAGUUAUGUAUACUCCUUUCCCA